rnacentral:rRNA from 1 species
GAAAGCAUUUGCCAAGGACGUUUUCAUUAAUCAAGAACGAAAGUUAGGGGAUCGAAGAUGAUCAGAUACCGUCGUAGUCUUAACCAUAAACUAUGCCGACUAGGGAUCGGGUGUUGUCCUUUUUUUGGCGCACUCGGCACCUUACGAGAAAUCAAAGUUUUUGGGUUCUGGGGGGAGUAUGGUCGCAAGGCUGAAACUUAAAGGAAUUGACGGAAGGGCACCACCAGGAGUGGAGCCUGCGGCUUAAUUUGACUCAACACGGGGAAACUCACCAGGUCCAGACACAAUAAGGAUUGACAGAUUGAGAGCUCUUUCUUGAUUUUGUGGGUGGUGGUGCAUGGCCGUUCUUAGUUGGUGGAGUGAUUUGUCUGCUUAAUUGCGAUAACGAACGAGACCUUAACCUACUAAAUAGUGCUGCUAGCAUUUGCUGGUACGACACUUCUUAGAGGGACUACCGAUUUCAAGUCGGUGGAAGUUUGAGGCAAUAACAGGUCUGUGAUGCCCUUAGACGUUCUGGGCCGCACGCGCGCUACACUGACGGAGCCAGCGAGUAUUAACCUUGGCCGAGAGGUCCGGGAAAUCUUGUGAAACUCCGUCGUGCUGGGGAUAGAGCAUUGUAAUUAUUGCUCUUCAACGAGGAAUUCCU